rnacentral:lncRNA from 1 species
CCUGAGGACUUAAAUCUAGAAUUCCUAGAAGUAAUACAUCAUGAAAUAGAACAUCCUCAAUUAGUUUAGUGACUAAUAAUUGUAUGGAACAUAAGCUUCGAUUCGUUGGCCCCUCUUCACCUCUUGCCGCAUUUGCUGAAUAUUAUCUCAAAUGAAUACAUCACGAUCUUGACGGCCGACCACUGGGACCCUGAAUCUUCAUGUUCAGUUGCUUAGAAGUAAACCAAAAUUUUUAAUGCUUAUCAACCACAUGAUUCAGUAACAAAUCCAACCAAAAAAAUAAUGAAAGAAAGCCUUGGUCUUUCACCUUUGGUCUGUUUGCAAGAUAGAACCUACGAAGCUCAAGAAAAGAUAUAGUGAGGAGACUUUGCAGAGGAUGAAAUAAUCAAAAGCUACGACUCAAGUCACUAAAGAACAUUAGUGACCAGAUGGAUCUCUAUUAUUCCAUCCUCUACAAAGCCUCCUCACUUGAUUUUCAGCUUCUAAAUACUUUACUUCAAGGUGGUUAAACUAUUUGAUUAUAGGAUAUAUGGGAUCUUGCCUCUGCACAAAGUAUGGAAACUUACAGACUUAUGGUGAUCUAGCUCAAAGAACCAUCUUCAGCUACUUCUUUAUAACCAUAUCCUGCGGAUGAACACGAUUGUCAUGUCCAUCGAUCUUCACGUGCCUUGAUGUGGUACGUAUUCACAAGAAAAUUGAUGGUGUUCCGCUAUAUACCAAGGUACUGAGAAAAUGACCAGACUAUGAGCAGGCACGUUCAUUGAGUACUAUGGACUAGAAAUGUCAUGUCCUCUAACGAUUCAUACGUCUUUUCUGAGACCCUAUACGAAUAAACAGCAUAUUUGGAAGCUAGCUUAUCUCCUUUUCAACUUCAUGCGCGCAGCUAGCUCAGAAACAACUGAUAACUGCUAACAUGGUAGACAUGAUAGAAACUCUAACAAAUCUAUCUGCAGAAAGAUGAAAAUACAGAGAGAAGUGAAGAGAAAC